rnacentral:rRNA from 1 species
UGGAGAGUUUGAUCCUGGCUCAGGACGAACGCUGGCGGCGUGCCUAAUACAUGCAAGUCGAGCGGACUUGUUAGAAGCUUGCUUCUAACAAGUUAGCGGCGGACGGGUGAGUAACACGUGGGUAACCUGCCUGUAAGAUGGGGAUAACUCCGGGAAACCGGAGCUAAUACCGAAUAACACUUUCGCUCGCAUGAGCGGAUGUUAAAAGACGGUUUCGGCUGUCACUUACAGAUGGACCCGCGGCGCAUUAGCUAGUUGGUGAGGUAACGGCUCACCAAGGCGACGAUGCGUAGCCGACCUGAGAGGGUGAUCGGCCACACUGGGACUGAGACACGGCCCAGACUCCUACGGGAGGCAGCAGUAGGGAAUCUUCCGCAAUGGACGAAAGUCUGACGGAGCAACGCCGCGUGAGUGAUGAAGGUUUUCGGAUCGUAAAACUCUGUUGUUAGGGAAGAACAAGUAYGAGAGUAACUGCUCGUACCUUGACGGUACCUAACCAGAAAGCCACGGCUAACUACGUGCCAGCAGCCGCGGUA